UUGUUAGUUGCUUGGUUGAUCACAAGACAUUGAACCAUAUUCCUAUAAAUGACAGGGGAUAUAAUUAAGAUCAUGAGUUCAACCAAGGUAAUAAAGCUUAUUGGUUAGGGAAGUCAGCGUGAGAAAGCAAUUGGGUGAAGUUUGGAAGUUGGUGUGGCUUGCGAUGAAGGCAAAUUAUGAGAGGUAUAUGAUGACUUUGAUAAUGUGAAUAAAUAUGUAGUAGGAGAAUUGUAAAUGAAAAAGAUGAUAAUGUGGAAUAUUUUGUUCCUUUACCCAGUGAUGUUCACUUUGGUGGACAAAGUGUGGAGGUUGGAGAAAGAACUGAAUGCGGUGCUGGUAAAGGAAAUGUGGAUACUGGACAACAAGUUGAAUGUGGUGUGUGAUGGGGAAGGCGUGGAUGUUGGACAAGGAAAUAGGAAAUAGAAAUCAAAUGGGUAUUUGUUCACAACAAAAAACGCCUUUCAGGACUAAAAUCUCGACGAGGAGAUUGGGG
rnacentral:lncRNA from 1 species